rnacentral:rRNA from 1 species
UGGGGAAUAUUGCACAAUGGGCGCAAGCCUGAUGCAGCCAUGCCGCGUGUAUGAAGAAGGCCUUCGGGUUGUAAAGUACUUUCAGCGGGGAGGAAGGUGUUGAGGUUAAUAACCGCAACGAUUGACGUUACUCGCAGAAGAAGCACCGGCUAACUCCGUGCCAGCAGCCGCGGUAAUACGGAGGGUGCAAGCGUUAAUCGGAAUUACUGGGCGUAAAGCGCACGCAGGCGGUCUGUCAAGUCGGAUGUGAAAUCCCCGGGCUCAACCUGGGAACUGCAUCCGAAACUGGCAGGCUAGAGUCUUGUAGAGGGGGGUAGAAUUCCAGGUGUAGCGGUGAAAUGCGUAGAGAUCUGGAGGAAUACCGGUGGCGAAGGCGGCCCCCUGGACAAAGACUGACGCUCAGGUGCGAAAGCGUGGGGAGCAAACA